UUGUCAAGGAUGAAUUACAUCUUACAGUCAGUCAUAAUGUGCAGCAUGGACGACAGAGCUGUGGACUUUUAUUUAUUUACCCACUUGCAUCCCUUUUGAUAAAGGAUAACCUGCUAUUAGGAGGUCUUGUGACUUGAGCUAGAGCUGGGACCCUGCAGCUGUCCUGUGUAGUGAACCGCAAGACCGCAGUUUAGAGCAUGUCUAUGGGUAAUGAGGAUUCCCAGGUUCUGAACUGACUCUGCCCACUCAAGCUGAUUCUAAACCAGAUACAAAACAGGUAAGAAUAACUGCAGAGAAGAAUCAUGAGAAGAAAUCUGAAGGGAUGCUGCUCCCAGUUCAGGAAUGUGUUUUGGGGCUUGGUUAAGCUGCAGCAGCCAGAAGCAGCUGUGCAAGAGGAUGUCAACAAACAUUCCUGCCCUAAGAAACAUAGACAUGCCCCUUUCAAAGAAAUCUGCUGUGGAAACAAAAUAGAAUCAGAGACCUAUGCUGAUCCUCACCCCACCUCCAUCCUCAUGUUAGCAUUCAAAAACUAUACAGAAAUCUGUCAGUAUAAUAUUUUUCAUGGAACAAUAUCUCAAGAAAUUAUGAUGCAAAUGCCUACAUGACCCAGAAAAUACCUCUUUAGGCUGGAAAAAAAACCAGAAGAAAGUGAGGGCACAGCAGGCGUAGCAGCUGUAGGCAGUACACAAAUGUAGAAAGAAGAUCUCUGUGUAACAUGAUUGUGCUUUAUCUUUAACAUACAUUUUGAUGACGUUGGUUAGAAGGAUGCACAUCUGGCAAAAAUCCAACCCAUGCAUUUCACAAACUCCUGUGGAAUCUGUGCUAGUCUUCUCCCUGUAUUACCUAGACCAGGGUUCUCCAAUCUUGGGUUCCCAGAUGUUGGACUACAACUCCCAUCAUGCUUAGCUAGUGGUCAAAGAUGAUGGGAGUUGUAGUCCACAACAUCUGGGGACCGAAGGUUAGAGAACACUAUACUAGACCAUGACACUGAUAGCAGUGACUGCAGGUCUAUCACUAGCUAUUCAUUCAAGACAGCAUGUUAGCAAAAAUGCCUGUCUUUUGAAAGGGAGGUACUUUGUUAAUUUUCCACACUUCUGGUUUAGCACAUUCUCCAGGCAAUGAACUAUUGAUGGAAGCAUCCAGAAAGAGGUCAGAAAAAGUUGCAACCUCCUCCAAUGAAAUUCUCCAUAUAUUAGUACAAUGCCCUUCUGAAGCUGCAAGAAAAUCUGAACUAUUUAGAGUCCUUCAGUUUCAUAGCUCCCUAGCAUUCCAUCUUCUUGGCAUCAGCUUUUGCUGCCUGUUUACAUGUUCCCUCUCCAAGAAAUAUUAAACAAGCGUCCAUAAUAGAAGGGUGAGGCUAUGUCACAGCUCUUCACUGCACUAAUACAAUGUUUCCUGGCUGGCUUGUAUGAACCACUCCUUGGUUUUCUGAUGACACCCGUUGCUUACUAUCAAAAGACUAAGUAGGUCAUUUCUGCUAAAUCCACCCAGCUCCCAUUUAAAAUCCCAAAAUUGUUCCCGAGAGACAAAUGAGCUUAAAAGCUGUCUAUUGUAUGAAAGUCUAUUGUAUGAAAGCCUUCUAAUUAAAAGUCAUUAUAUGAGGUCAUAAAGUCCUUGGGGAUAUAUACAGACUCACUCAGAAAGGAAUUCAUGCUACUAAAGAUCUGAUUAA